AUUGAACGCUGGCGGCAGGCCUAACACAUGCAAGUCGAACGAGUGGCGGACGGGUGAGUAAUGUCUGGGAAACUGCCUGAUGGAGGGGGAUAACUACUGGAAACGGUAGCUAAUACCGCAUACCAUCGGAUGUGCCCAGAUGGGAUUAGCUUGUUGGUGGGGUAACGGCUCACCAAGGCGACGAUCCCUAGCUGGUCUGAGAGGAUGACCAGGCACACGGGAACUGAGAAACGGUCCAGAAUCCUACGGGAGGCAGCAGGGGGGAAUAUUGCACAAUGGGCGCAAGCCUGAUGCAGCCAUGCCGCGGGGAUGAAGAAGGCCUUCGGGGUGUAAAGGACUUUCAGCGGGGAGGAGGUACCCGCAGAAGAAGCCCCGGCUAAACCCGUGCCCGCAGCCGCGGUAAUUC
rnacentral:rRNA from 1 species